AUUCACGUGUGUAAGAUCUUGUUUUCUUCCCGUUCACCACGUGGGUAAUAUCUUGUGAGCUCAAUAAAUACGGGGACGAAAGGCCUGUUGGGGCUUUUGUCUCCUCCUAAACACUAGCCUCUCGUAUUCAAUUCUGUGCCUGCUCUCUUGCUCGACUAAGCGAGAACUCCAGACUCCUACUCUGCAACACGUGAUCACUGUGCAAGAGCUUUGCCCGAUCUUAUAAAAAAGGAGAGAUAAAAACAGUGAGGGAGGCAAACCAUCGGAGAGUCUUAAAUACAGAGAGGGCUGCUGAGUGGGGGCGGGUGGGAGCGGUAGAUGGGUGAGGGGCAUUAAGAAAGACUUUGGGGAUAAGCACUAGGUUCUACUCGUAAAGCCAAGACUACACCGUAUGUUAACCUAAAAAAGAAAAAGAGAAGUCAGUCUCCCAGGGUACCGGGGGCCCAGUUUGGAGUUGCUUGUGAGGGACAAAGAAUCCCACCAGGGGAAAGGGAAGGAGAGGCUGUUAACUGAACCAGCAAAGCCAGGCAAACAGACCCUCCCCUCAGGUAUAAGAAAUAGCAGCUCUCCUCCAAUCAAGGACUUCCCAGGACUCCGGCCUCAUUAAUGCUCCUGAACCACAGCCAGCUGGGGACAAAUGAGGGGAGCCCAGCAGAAAGGAAUAUAAUCAGAGGUCUCCCACUUCUGAGCCUCCCGGGUUGUACCCCCAGAUCUUUCAUCUAGAUCUUUCCAGAAAUGGUCCAUGAAGGUGCACCUUAUGGUGAGAAUGCGACCCAAAAUAGAAUAAAACAAAAGCACCAGAAAAUGCAUAGAUCUUAUUGGCAGAAUAAAAAGCAGGGCAGCGGACCGAGGUGGGAGAGCAAAGCCGGGAGCAAAACCCUCUUCUGUGACUACACUUCUCGCUCCCUUGAAUAGUUUCACCGAACCCCAGCACCGUUACCACUGUGCCCACCGUCCGCUGCCUGCGCCCCCUGAGCCCACGUGCAAGAGCCCCCGUGUCAUUCCCUUCGGGAAACGUCUUGUGCGCGGGUCAGCAAAUGCACGAGGCAUCGUUUGUGAAACCCCUGCUGACCCGCCACACCUUUCCUUCCCCCCAAACUGGUACCUACCUCGGUACGUUCCUGUGACACCCUCCUAUUGCCAAAGGGCCAGAUGGAUUGAGGGACUUUUUGAAAUGUUUUUUUUUUUUUUUUUUUCCGGACGGUUUGGCCCUGUGUGUAAAUAGUACGUUUCAUGAUGUUACGAGAUUAUGGUUUCAGAAAAAUAAGACAUUCUCACCUGAACUGUCAGCAGAUGCUGCCAUGUCUUUCGGAGACCUGCCUUGUUGCUCCUCUUUCCUGUCCCCUCCCCUCCCCGCCUCUUCUUUUUCUUGUUCAUCUGCAUCAUCAUGCUGCUUCUUGCCCAUUUGUUUGUCCCUCUCUUCUAUUCCAUCUGGGCCCUCCUCUAUGCUCCUGGAGACUAAUUCCUACAGACUCAGCCUCCCAGGCUCCCCGGCUUCCCGGGCUGGAGAUCAGAGUGUAGGCUACUUCUUCCGCACCCCCUCCCUAUGUUGCCUGAUUUCUAGCCGUGGCUGCUUUCCUUCAACCACAGCGCUGUGAAGUGGCCCUUGCUCUAGGAAUCCCGCUGUCACUGGGCUCCACCAUGCAAUUCCUCUCCUUGCCCCUUCAGGACUAAGGAUGCCAACGGUCUCUUUACUGUUGCCAGGCUCUCGGUGCGUCACCACCCAUGCUUAGUUUCCUAACUCCACCCGCUGGGUAAUUCUUCCAUGGGCGUCUCUUGGACCAUCUGAGUUAGAUUCCGUGUCCUGCCAGAACGCUGAUGACACAGACCUCUCUAACGUCAUCUCCGUGACCACGACUGGUCGGUUGCUCCUCACGUAUCAGACACCGUGUUGGCCGCUUCGCCAACAUUCACUCAUUCUCCCUUCACGACAACCCUGUGAGGAAAGUAUUCUUGUACAGCUGGCAAAGUGGACUUGGCAGUUUGAAAGACCUUGUUCAUUCCAGACACCACUAGUAAGUGACAGAGUCAGAAUUCCAACUCAGACCUUUUUACCGCGGAGCCUCUCUACGACCACUACCAACAGUCCCCCCAUCCAGCCCGUGUCGGAAUCAUCGGGAAUAUGUGUUACAGGUCCAGGUUCUGGGAAACCUACCCAGAGCCCUCUGUGAGGAAACCAGCUGUCAGUUUGAACUUGGGCAGUGAGGCUGGCUUGAAGUAUCCUCUAAUCCAACGGAGAUCAUUGCACAGGCUAACUGACAACGUGCGGAGAGAGCUGGCAUUAAAACUCUGACCGGCGUGGGCAACAGUAAUGACCGAGGCCAAAUUCUCCACCACCCUCCCACCUCCAGUUUAAAUGAAAAAUGCUAAGGGAAUUAGAGUUAAGAGGUAGACAGAAGAGGGAAGAGAAAGCCCGUGAAGGGAAGCAAGCGAUGAGAGAGUGACAAUGGCCUUAUGGACACAGUGACCCGUGACGCAGUAGUAAGAUAGCAAUGUCCUGGAGCCAACUUGCAGCCUGGACAAUGACUGUUCUUAGCUUCUGUUGGGAUCUGUCUGCUCUCCCCCAUCAACUCGCCCGUGAUCUAAAUAAUCAUUGGUCACUUCUUCCUCGAACCAGACCUAUUUGGCCGAGCUGACACAACCCCUGUGUUUUUUGUUCUUUGGGU